GAUGAACGCUGGCGGUAUGCCUAACACAUGCAAGUCGUACGAGAGUUUUUAACUCUAGUGGCGGACGGGUGAGUAACACGUGAGAAUUUGCCUUUAGGAGGGGGACAACAAUUGGAAACGAAUGCUAAUACCCCAUACUCCUUCUUAUCAUAAGGUAAGUUGGGAAAGAUUUAUUGCUAAAGGAUGGGGCUUUAUGGUAUCAGUUAGUUGGUGGGGUAAUGGCCUACCAAGACUAUGACGCCUACCUGGUCUGAGAGGAUGAUCAGGCACACUGGAACUGAGACACGGUCCAGACUCCUACGGGAGGCAGCAGUGGGGAAUAUUGCACAAUGGAGGGAAACUCUGAUGCAGCAACGCCGCGUGGAGGAUGACGCAUUUCGGUGUGUAAACUCCUUUUAUAAGGGAAGAUAAUGACGGUACCUUAUGAAUAAGCACCGGCUAACUCCGUG
rnacentral:rRNA from 1 species